GCCGGUAUAGCUCAGCUGGUAGAGCAACUGACUUGUAAUCAGUAGGUCCCGGGUUCGACUCCUGGUGCCGGCACCA
rnacentral:tRNA from 500 species